rnacentral:rRNA from 1 species
UAGGGAAUCUUCCACAAUGGACGAAAGUCCGAUGGAGCAACGCCGCGUGAGUGAAGAAGGGUUUCGGCUCGUAAAACUCUGUUGUUAAAGAAGAACAUAUCUGAGAGUAACUGUUCAGGUAUUGACGGUAUUUAACCAGAAAGCCACGGCUAACUACGUGCCAA